GGUCAUUCCUCGGCCUCCAUUUUUUUGUUGCGAUAACCACGCAGCCACCGCCGCCGCCGCUCGUUCCAAUCUCCUCGCCGCCGCCAUGCUCCGGCUCCGGCGCUGCGUCCUCACUCAGCUCCUCUCGUUUCCCUCCGCCUCUCCCACCUCCCAGAUCCACCGCCUCAUCUCCGCCGCAGCGCCCGCCCCUAGCUUCGCCGUGCAGGACUACCUCGUCGCCAGCUGCGGCCUCUCCCGAGCGCAGGCACUCAAGGCCUCCACCAAGCUCUCCCACCUCAAAUCCCCCACCAAGCCCGACGCCGUGCUCUCCUUCCUCGCCGGCCACGGCUUCUCCAGCUCCGACGUCGCCGCCGUCGUCGCGGGAGACCCCAAGGUACUCUGCUCCAGAGUGGAGGGAUACCUUGUCCCCGUCGUCGCCCAGCUCACCGGCCUCGGCCUCUCGCGUUCUCAGGUCGCGCGCCUCAUCUCCUACUGCCAAGGCAACUUACAUCUCACAUCCAUCGUCUCCAAGCUGCAGUACUACCUGCCCCUCUUCGGUUCCAUCGACAACACCCUUCGAGUUCUCAAGCGCGGCUUUUACCUUAUCUCGUCUGAUCUUGAGAGGGUGGUCAAGCCCAAUGUCGCAACCCUGCGGGACUCGGGGCUGGGUGAUUGCGACAUUGCCAAGCUGUGCAUCCGUAAUCCAUGGCUGCUCACAACCAAUGUAGAAUCCAUCCGGGCAAUGGUGUCAUGCGCUGAAAGUCUUGGUGUGCCCCGUGGAUCUCGGAUGUUCAGGCAUGCCGUGUCUGCUGUUGCGUACCUCAGCGAGGAGAAGAUCGCCGCUAAAGCGGGGUACUUGAAGAAGACCUUUAGGUGGUCAGAUGCCGAGGUCAGCAUUGCUGUGUCCAAGCAUCCAAUCUUGCUGACAAGGUCUAAGGACUUUCUGCGGAGCAGAUCAGAGUUCCUCAUCUCUGAGGUGGGGCUGGAACCGGCAUACAUUGCUCAUCGUCCGGUAUUGCUCUCUUACAGCCUGGAGGGUCGUCUCAGGCCCCGGUACUAUGUUGUAAAGUUUCUCAAGGAAAAUGAAUUGCUAGAUUGCGACCGGGACUACUAUUCUGCAGUAAUGCGGACCGAGAAGGUAUUCAUGGAGAAGUACAUAUGCCCUCACAUGGAAGCUGCACCGCACCUCGCUGAAGACUAUGCGGAAGCUUGCAGAGCAUUUGGAUGCCAUUGUACAGAUAAUGCGUCUCUGCCCCCAUUCAUUGUUUGAAGGUGACUUGUGAUGACUAUUGGAUGUCGUUCAAUUGCUUUUCAAGCACGCCCAUCAUCUUUUUGUGCUAUGAUGAAGCAGGUUGAGGAUAUUGUCCAUGCAAUGAUAUAGGCUUGCUUGCAGGAACCCAUGUCAGGGAGGUGACCGAUAGGUGAUAGCAUAAUCUGAUCUUCUCAAGAACCGUACUUCAUUCAGCUGCAAGACAAAGCAGAUUGCUUUAGGUUCUUAGGUGCUAUAAUAUCGAAUAAAUGUCCUAUUAGUUUACAGGAUCACAUAUUUUUAGGUUUUUAAUGCAGUUCAUGAUGAAACAGCUGGAGCUUAUCAGGAUAAUUUUUUGAUAUAUACUAUUACCUAACUGACAUGGUUUUAGUUCAAAUAUGAACUAAAACCGCGUCAGUUAUUUCCGAACGGGUGGAGUAUCAUUUAUACUAAUUUAUAUUAAUACU